UGGGGGAUAUUGCACAAUGGGGGGAACCCUGAUGCAGCGACGCCGCGUGAAGGAAGAAGUAUCUCGGUAUGUAAACUUCUAUCAGCAGGGAAGAAAAUGACGGUACCUGACUAAGAAGCCCCGGCUAACUACGUGCCAGCAGCCGCGGUAAUACGUAGGGGGCAAGCGUUAUCCGGAUUUACUGGGUGUAAAGGGAGCGUAGACGGCGAUGCAAGCCAGAUGUGAAAGCCCGCGGCUCAACUGCGGGACUGCAUUUGGAACUGUAUGGCUGGAGUGCAGGAGAGGCAGGCGGAAUUCCUAGUGUAGCGGUGAAAUGCGUAGAUAUUAGGAGGAACACCAGUGGCGAAGGCGGCUUACUGGACGGUAACUGACGUUGAGGCUCGAAAAGCGUGGGGAGCAAACAGGAUUAGAUACC
rnacentral:rRNA from 1 species